ensembl:misc_RNA Metazoa_SRP Metazoan signal recognition particle RNA
UACAGGGCUGUAGUAUGCUAUGCCGAUUGGGUGUCCACACUAAGUUUGGCAUCAAUAUGAUGACCUUCCGGGAGCAGGACACCACCAGGUUGCCUAAGGAGGGGUGAACCAGCCCAGGUUGGAAACAGAGCAGGUCUACACUGCCAUGCUGAUCAGUAGUUGGAUUGUGCCUGUGAAUAGACACUGCACUCCAG